rnacentral:rRNA from 1 species
CAUUACCACACCUAAAAAACUUUUCACGUGAACCGUUCUAUUAGUUUUGUGCUUCUGCUGUAACUGCUAAUCUGCCUUUGGUGGAAUAGUGGAUGCGGUGGAGGCUGAACGAAGGUUGAUUUUGGCGAAAGCUAGAGUCAGCUGAUGAACUUUUAAACCCUUACCUAAUUACUGAUUAAUACUCUAGGAACGAAAGUUCUUAGUUUUAAAGACAACAACUUUCAGCAGUGGAUGUCUAGGCUCGCACAUCGAUGAAGAACGCUGCGAACUGCGAUACGUAAUGCGAAUUGCAGAAUUCAGUGAGUCAUCGAAAUUUUGAACGCAUAUUGCACUUCCGGGUUAUGCCUGGGAGUAUGCCUGUAUCAGUGUCCGUAAAUCAAAAUUGCCUUUCUUUUUCUGUGUAGUCAGGAUUGGAAAUGGCAGAAUGUGAAGUGUCUCGAACGCUAACCUCUAUGGUUAAUGGUUGAGUCCUUUUAAAUCGACACUGUCUCGCUAUAUAGUUACUGUGAUUUGUUUCGCAUGAACGCUGUGAUCUACUGAUCGCUUGCACGUGUUAGCAAUCCAGUGAGAACAUAUAGGGUGAACCUCAAUUUGCGGUAUGUUUGGCUUCGGCUUGACAAUCUUGCUUAUUGUGUGGAUCCUGUUUUUGCUGUGAUAUACUGAUGUGUGUGGGCUUGAACGGUAUUUUGCUGUUUAGUAAUGUGUUACUGCUGGUAGCGCCGUUUACGGUUUUAGUGAGAAGUCCAGUUGGGAAACCAAUAUGGUGAGAAAUCACUGUAUCUCAAUUGGACCUGAUAUC